rnacentral:misc_RNA from 1 species
UCCGGGUUGGUCCCGGCGGUCCGGCCAGACGUGGUAACUGGCCGCGGGGGUUGCGCUCGUUGCGGGACUUAACCCAACACCUCACGGCACGAGCUGACGACAGCCGUGCAGCACCUGUGCGCGCUCCCUCGCGGGUCCCUCGGGUUUCCCCCCGGUACCACGCGCAUGUCAAACCCAGGUAAGGUUCUUCGCGUUGCCUCGAAUUAAGCAACAUGCUCCGCCGCUUGUGCGGGCCCCCGUCAAUUCCUUUGAGUUUUAGCCUUGCGGCCGUACUCCCCAGGCGGGGCACUUAUCGCGUUGGCUUCGGCACGGACAGAUUCGACUCCGCCCACACCUAGUGUCCAUCGUUUACGGCGUGGACUAC